CCCACCCUGUACUUACACUCUUUCCAGCCUCCCUACCAGUCCCAAAUUUCACUUUCCAGCCAUGCCUAAGGGCAGGCUGUCAAAUUUCAUUGCUUAAGCACGUUCAAGCCAAUUUCAGUUGGCAUUCUCAAUACCCAAAAUUUUCAGAUUUUCUUUUCACAGCAAGAAUUCAAGUGCAGAGCGGCCAUAGCUCGAUUCCAGCAACCAAACCAAGUUCCUAAAGGCUUUGUGGACCAAGGGGAUUAGCACUGCUUUCCCAAGACAGGUUAUGUGAUUAUGAUCUUCAGGCUUUGCCUAUCCAGGUUGAGCAGUUGAUGGAAUGGAAUGAUGUUGAGCGGGUGUUCCUUUGACAUUUCAAGAAAUGUAACCUUGAGUAUACAUCUUCAUAUGUAUAUCUCACACGUUUUCCGCUGCAAAACACUUUGAUUAGGAUAACUUUAUGUUAUGAAAUUGUAACACGUGUUAUUGGGUAAACCACCUUAAUCAGUUCUCUUUUAUGUGUAUGUUUUAUAAGUAUCCAAAUGAUCAUAUAUGAUCCUAGCUUUUUAUCUAUAAGUGACAUU